AGGGCCUUAGGAUAACUAGACCAAGGGCCUUCAAAGCCCUCAGCGGGAGUGAGAACCUCUCAGGCCCUG
rnacentral:tRNA from 1 species